rnacentral:rRNA from 1 species
UACGGAGGGUGCAAACGUUGCUCGGAAUCAUUGGGCGUAAAGCGCACGUAGGCGGUCUGUUAAGUCGGAUGUGAAAGCCCUGGGCUCAACCCAGGAAGUGCAUUCGAAACUAGCAGACUUGAAUAUGGAAGAGGGUCGCGGAAUUCCCGGUGUAGAGGUGAAAUUCGUAGAUAUCGGGAGGAACACCAGUGGCGAAGGCGGCGACCUGGGCCAAUAUUGACGCUGAGGUGCGAAAGCGUGGGGAGCAAACAGG